AUGAAUUGCAUCAGUUGGAACUGUCGUGGUGCGGGGAACGCUACGACAGUUCGAGAGUUAAUUUCCCUAGUUAGAGUCCAUAAUCCUUUUAUUGUCUUCCUUUGUGAAACACGUCAGAAAAAAGAAAAAAUGUUUCGAUUGAGAAAUAGAUUAGGCCUUAGUGGUUUUGAAGGUGUUAGUAGUGAAGGUCUCAGUGGAGGUCUUGCGUUGUAUUGGCAUGAG
rnacentral:rRNA from 1 species